rnacentral:lncRNA from 1 species
UGGAUGAUGAACAGAGUCGUGGGGGAGAGAUGGGUGGCAGGCCGGCAGCUCGACCGUUCGCCUGGGUGCACGAACAAAAGGCCCAGGUGCUCAUAAGUCAUACGUUAAUAACCUACCGCAAAAAUACCCCGACGCGAAUCCAGGCUCCGCACUCCCGUGCGCGACUCCCCUCCUCCCCCAAUCGCCCCCGAGCUUCCUUUUCCCGCGCGCGCCUGAUCC